CCUACGGGAGGCAGCAGUGGGGAAUAUUGCACAAUGGGCGAAAGCCUGAUGCAGCAACGCCGCGUGAAGGAAGAAGGGUUUCGGCUCGUAAACUUCUAUCAACAGGGACGAAAGAAAUGACGGUACCUGACUAAGAAGCCCCGGCUAACUACGUGCCAGCAGCCGCGGUAAUACGUAGGGGGCGAGCGUUAUCCGGAUUCACUGGGUGUAAAGGGAGCGUAGACGGCCAUGCAAGCCAGGGGUGAAAGCCCGGGGCCCAACCCCGGGACUGCCCUUGGAACUGUGCGGCUAGAGUGCGGGAGGGGCAGGCGGAAUUCCUGGUGUAGCGGUGAAAUGCGUAGAUAUCAGGAGGAACACCGGCGGCGAAGGCGGCCUGCUGGACCGCGACUGACGUUGAGGCUCGAAAGCGUGGGGAGCGAACAGGAUUAGAUACCCUAGUAGUC
rnacentral:rRNA from 1 species